GUAGGUUGACUGUCGGGACAAGCCCAGGGAUGGCAUUGUUUCUAUUUGCUGAUAAAUGACUCUGGGGCUGUGAAGACUCAGACCCAAGGAGUGACUCAGAAAGUCAGGGGCCCAUGUCAUUCUGCUCUGGGUUCAGACGUGCACUGCAGCAGCACCGGGACUUGACAGCCCUACGGCUCGAUCAGCUUUCUGUUUUCAUUGCCUUACGAUGCCAUGAGUGGAACUAUUGUCAAAUCAGAGUUCACUCCCCAGCUUUUCAGUCUUUCCCCUAAUUCUUGCUCUAUCAGAGGUCGAGGACAACAGUAUAAUGAUUCAUAGGUUCUACUUCCUGGCAAGUAAUCAUUUUCCCACGGGCCCUUGUGAAUUGAUGAAUAUGAAGACACUAAGAAAGCAGAAAUAGAACUGAGAAGAAUGAAAUAACUGUCUCUACCUUUCUCGAAUUGUCUAAUAUGGAAAGAAUGAAAGACAGCUAAUAAGCAACUCUCUGCAAGAAGACAUAUGGCUUAGGUUCUGCUGAGCUAUUGGUGAUUUGAUUCCAUGCAUAUGUAUUCACUACUGGUAUAAGUAUAUACAAUAUAUGUGUUUCUGCAAAGAAUCGUAGACUUGAUGCAUUUUUUAAUAUUUCUUAAGGACUUACUACUGAGUGUCAGUAUGAGAGGAUCGUUUACUUCCUUUUCCCAUUAAUUUUGAUAGCCUGGAUUGAGCAACUUUCUUACCUAGUUUUGUUUUAUGAGGUGCAUUAGCUUUUUCUUUGUGUGUAUGUUUGUGUGUGUGUAGCUUUAUUAACCAUAUUGUUUGGGCUUUUGAUAAAGCAGAGAUUCUGAUAUGGUAUACAUUUUGAACUAAGCAUUCAUUUAUUCAGCAGGGAUGUAUGUUUAAGACACUGUGUUAGCCAAGGGUGAGAAGGCGUGUGGAAUGGUAGAGGAGCAAGGUGAGGUAAGAUGAUUAAAAGACACCAGCUGAGAGUGUUAUUUUAUAUGGCAGAAGGAUGUUUGCAGAUGCAAUUAAGUUAAGGACCUUGAGAUGGGGUAUGUUAUCCUGGUAGGCCCAAUGUAUACAUCAGGGUCCUUAUGAAAGGGAGGCAGGAGAACAGAAUGAGUAGUGAGAAGAGUGAAUGGACAAUACUGAGGACAUGCUUAGGGACCCAAAGAAGCUUGCUAUGGUAGGGCUUGGUGGACUCUGUACUGAUGAGAAAGGCUAGGCCAUGCUAUGGAAGCAAAUAAAUCUGUUGUAAAGUGACAGAGUUUCUCUCUUGCUCAUGCAAAGUCUGCUAAAUGGCUGAGUGAUUCUCAAGGGCAUCCCUCACUCAUGUGAUGGCUCUGCUGUGUGUGCAUCCCUGCUAGCCAGGCAGGUCAGGAGAAUGUUAGAAAUGAAACACUUCCUUCUGGUGGCCAAAAGAAGUCACAUGGCUACAUCUGUUAAUAAUUCGAAGGUUGUAGACAGUAUAAUAUUCCCUUGUCCUAAAAGAGGGAAGCUAGAAAUAUUGGUAAGCAGCACAUAUAUCUUCCCCAUGAUCCCAACUUUGUUGGGUAGAGAAGCAUUUUAAAUAACUUUGGAAUUUACAUAUAUUCCUCAAAUAUCUAGUGGUAACUCCAUGUCUAAAUCCAGGGUACCCACUUUCUUCCCUAAACAUGUUUGAAAGUCCUGCAUUCUCUCAGUAUUGUUACAGAGCCACAUUUCAGUUGAAUUGGUAGUGCUGAGAAAAGCGUUAUUUAUUUUAUUUUUAUUUUAGUUUUUUUUAGAGACUGGGUUUUGCUGUGUUGCCCCGGCUGAUCUUGCACUCCUGGUCUCAAGUGCUCCUCCUAUCUCAGCCAUCCGAAUAGCUGGUAUUACAUGUGCACACCAUAAUGAGAAAAGCAUUAUGAUUAACCUAGUAAAUUGAUUUUUAAUACUGCAUUAUUUGAUUUUCAAGGACUUAAAAAACCACUUCCAGAGAGCUAGACACAAUGAAUACAAGCAAGCUAAUAAUGAAAGUGAGAAACCACAUGCUGCUGAAUUGAGUAUGUAGCAACAUUUGUAAAGAAAUGGCAAAUCAUAUCUAAUUAUUUCAUUGUGCUUACCUUUCUUCAGUCAGAAAGCCUUCGGCAUCUAGUGCAUUUCUACAGAUAUUCCGUGGUGAUUUAAUAUCAAUUAAUAUCAACCUGCAGCAAAGUGUUGACAGUGUUUCUAAAUUCACAAGCCCAACAUUUUGCAGUAUUGGGCAUAAGUGAAGGAGCUUUCCAGGUUGCUGCUAAAAGCAACUCAAAAAGAUGCGAAGUAGAUGUGAAACCUUCAUAUUUGGUACUUCUAUAGCAGAUUGUCUUCUCUCCUAGAAGAGAGGCCAGGAGACAGACUAACCCAUUUCUCUAAUCCAUAUGUUGUUCGCUGAGGCUCCCAAAGCUCUGGGAAGUAAUUUACUUGCAGUUCUCUAGAGAUGGAGGCAGGGAGCUUGAGUGUGAGUCCAGUGGAGACUGUCUUUGGAAUUUCAUCUGAUCACAGGGUCACUGUCCAUUUCUCUUCUCAGCAGGCCUAGGAAAACACCAGGACUAACCCCCUGGAGGGAGCCUAGCUUCAGGAUUAAUUAGGGCUUGAUUAAUUAAUUAAGGUAUGAAUCGAGGGCUUAAACAGUAGUUAACUAAGAAAUAUGUAUUUGUUUUACAAAAGUUAAAAUUUAUGGAACAGUAUAUUAAGAAUUGCUUUUAUUUUAUAAUAUAAUGUGUUAAUGUUAAGUUCUUUCCAUACAUUCUUUCGUUUAAAGCACACACAAAAAUGCAGAUGUGGCCAGGUGCAGUGGCUCACGUCUGUAAUCCUAGCACUUUGGGAGGCUGAGGAAGGCGGAUCACCUGAGGUCAGGAGUUCGAGACCAGCCUGGCCAACAUGGUGAAACCCCAUCUCCAUUAAAAAUACAAAAAUUAGCCGGGCAUGGUGGCAUGCACCUGUAAUCCCAGCUACUUGGGAGGCUGAGGCAGGAGAAUCACUUGAACCUAGGAGGGGGAGGUUGCAGUGAGCCAAGAUCGCACCACUGCACUCCAGCCUGGGCGACAGAGCGAGAAUCCAUCUAAAGAAAAAAAUGCAGAUGAAGGGCCUGCCUUGAUUGUCCUGUGAACAGUUUGUGUGCAGUGGGGAGGCUGAAGGUCUGGCCUCCUUUGCUUCUGGUGUCUUCACCGCCACCACUUCUGCCCCUGUGUCUCUAUAUAGUGUAAGGGAUUGGUAUUAAUUAUUUCCCAUUUUACAGAUGAGGAAACUGAAAUCCAGAGAAAUGGAGUGAGUUGGCCAAGUGCACACAGCUCAUUUCUUACCUAGUAUUUACUGUUCACACACUGUAUAGACCCUUUAAUAAGCUAAUCUAAAAGAUUAAUCUAAAAGAUUAGAUACAUUACCUCGUUUCAGUGCCACUAUAGCCUGGCAUUGUACAUAUCACUAUCUUCCUGUCGAAUAGGAAGGUUCUUAAAUUCUGAGACAUUUGGUAACAUGCCUGAGUUAUGUGUAAAAGCUUAGAUUUGAAUUUGAGCCUCCUGACUUGAAUCUUGCGUUUGACCAUACCACAUCUGCACCUAGCUGUUGGAGGAAUCAGAACGCCCAAGACCCAGAUAACUCUAAAUAAGGCCCAGUCUGAGUCGUGCUUCAUGGUUAGGUUCAUAAGUUCAGUGCUGAAAAGGCUGAUUUUUCCUGUUUUUCUAGGGUCUGUUUGCUGGAUUUAAGAUACGCUCUCUCCAGAAAUAUGACAAAACAAUUGUUUUGUUUGCUCAUUUUUUGUUUUGUUUUGUUUUUCGUUCUUACAAGGUAACUAGUAUCCCUAGCACACCAGAAAUAAUUGGCACUGAUGUUCCUGACAAGAGGAGUCUGCUAAAAGUGACCUUUAAAUGCCUUUUGGUGGAGUGAUUAUUUAAUUUAGGCAGUUUCUUUUCUCAGAAAGGAAUUAACAGUUUCUACGGGCUUUGCUAGCUGAGACCUUUAGUUUUAAUCACCUCCUUGAAAACAUUCUCCUUAAUCUAUUCUGAGUAAGAUGGUGGGUUUCUUUGUACUUUGGCCUUUAACUUUUUUUUUUUUUUGAGACAAGCUCUAUCACCCAGGCUGGAGUAUAAUGUCACGAUCAUAGCUCACUAUAAACUUAAACUCCAGGGUUCAGCCGUGGAACACAGGUGAUCUUCUUGACUCAGCCUUUUGAGUAGCUGGGACUACAGGCCCACCACACUGUCUAAUUUUUUAUUUAUUUAUUUUUGUAGAGAUGGGAUCUUGCUAUGUGGCCCAGGCUGGCCUCAAACUCCUGGCCUCAAGAUAUUUCCCCCUGCCUUGGCCUCUCAAAGUGAAUCUACUUGGAGAGAGUCAAACACAGAAUCCCUUUGAAUUUAAUGGCCAUUCCAGGUGAUUUGAACAGCCAAAUAAGAAACAGGUCCUCUUCAAUGUACAAUCUGCCAAGUAUGAAGUCUGAAUGACCAUCAUUAUUAUGUAUUUAAUGUGCAUAGAAAAUCUAUCUGCAACCUUCCAGAGUGUACCAGAAGUUUGGAAUGUACAUUAUUAUUGGCUCCAUCUCAAACCACUCAUAAAUCAAAGAAAAUAGCAGUUCCAGAGGAAUCAUCAUAGAGGCUUCUAGGCCCCCAUGCUGUGUGAACCUGGUGAGAAAGGGAAGUCUGCUCUCACUGGACACUGGAACUGUUUGUCUCUGUCUCUGCUGUACUUUCCCUGCCUCUACCUCACUUAGUAAAGAAAUCAUCUUUGCUUGAUAACUAAAACAACCAAUAAGGCUGAGAAAGGGGAAAACCCACAUCUGGAUUUAAAUACAAGGUAUUGGGCCAGCUGCUGGGGAUUAAACUUUGAACAAAACAGAUAGAAUCUAUGUCCUCAUGGGAGUGGCUAAUGGGAGAGUCGGAACAAAAAAAUAGCCAAGGAUAAUCCAGCAAAUGAUUUGGUGAAUGCUAUCAAAGAGAGAAAUACACAUGCUCUGGGAACACCAAGCUGGAGUAUGAUGGUGCGAUCUCAGUUCACUGCAACCCCUGCCUCCCAGGUUCAAGUGAUUCUCCUACCUCAGCCUCCUGAGUAGCAGGGAUUAUAGGUACAAGCCACCACACCCGGCUAAUUUUUAUAUUUUUAGUAGAGACGGGGUUUCACCACAUUGGCCAGGCUGGUCUCGAACUCCUGACCUCAGGUAAUCUGCCCCUCGGCCUCCCAAAAUGCUGGGAUUAACAGGCAUGAGCCACAGCACCUGGCUGACUUUGCCUGUUUUAUAAUUUCACACAAUAAAAUCAUGCACUGUGCAUUUCUUUGUAUUGUCUCCUUUCACUCAGCAUAAUGUCUGUGUGAUUCAACCCUGUGGUGAUGUGUCAUUUUUUUA
rnacentral:lncRNA from 10 species